GACUCGGCGAGAAGUCCAUUGAACCUUAUCAUUUAGAGGAAGGAGAAGUCGUAACAAGGUUUCCGUAGGUGAACCUGCGGAAGGAUCAUUGUCGAGACCGAAAUAUACACCGAGCGAAUCGGAGAACCCGUGAAACGAACGACGUGCGGCGGCCGCCGCGGAACGGCCGUCCGAGCCGUCGCCCUGUCUCCUCUUUCGGGGGGAAGGCGGCGCGGCGGAAAGGAAGAAUGAAAACACAACCCGGCCCACCACGCGCCAAGGGAAAAAUGAAAAGCACGAGCCCCACGUCGGGCUUAGUGGCGUGGAGUGGUUGUUGCACCCCAUGCGGAUGGACACGACUCUCGGCAAUGGAUAUCUCGGCUCUCGCAUCCAUGAAGAGCGCAACGAAAUGCGAUACGUGGUGCGAAUUGUAGAAUCCCGCGAACCAUCGAGUCUUUGAACGCAAGUUGCGCCUGAGGCCAGCCGGCCGAGGGCACGUCCGCCUGGGCGUCAAGCUACGCGUCGCUCCGCGCCAGCUCCGUUCCGCCAGAUGGGGGUGACGGCCGAGGCUCGGACGUGUAGAGUGGCCCGUCGUGCCGGUCGGUGCGGCGGGCUGAAGAGCGGGCUAUGUCUCGCCGGCCGCGAACAACAAGGGGUGGGUGAAAGCUGUGAGCGCAGCCUGCGUUGUCUCGUGCUGGCCCGAGAGAUGGAUCGUGCCCUCCAGGAGAUCCCGACCCAAGCGCCGGCCCGGAUGCGUCGGCUUUGGAAUGCGACCCCAGGACGGGCGAGGCCACCCGCCGAGUUUAAGCAUAUC
rnacentral:rRNA from 1 species